rnacentral:tRNA from 1 species
GGCCCCGUAGCUCAGGGGAUAGAGCAGCGGUCUUCUAAACCGUCGGUCGUAGGUUCGAUUCCUACCGGGGCCG